AUCAUGUAAACCCAUUUUCACUGUCUCACUGUUAGGGUUAGGGUUGCGGCGAUUCUGAGAGUUAGGGUGGUGGCGAUUCUGAUCUUCUAAGAGGCAUGUCUCCUCAAUCAUCAGGUUUACUUCCUGUGAAGGGAAAAUCUCAGUGAAAUGAGUGGAAUCGGAAAAUUCUUUUCUACGUACACCGUGUGGAUGUCGAUGGCCCAAAACCGAUGGCAGAGAUUUCAUGCCUACGUGGAUGGACCAACAAAUUAAUUAGCGAGAGGUUGAAUUUAGAGAAACGUAAAUAGAAUGGUUUCGGCUGUGGUGAGGUAACGUUGGUUGAGAUGUUCACCGGAAGAAAUUUACAAAACUUGUUAUACAAUGUGACCAAAACGCUUAAUGUUCCUGCUGUAUUGAUUAUGUUCACAAUUAUAAUUGAAUUAUACCUAAACAAUCUUCUAUUCAGUGAUAGUUGUGGUGUUUUCAUGUUGGAGUUCAUGGAGAAAUGGGAUCGUUCACUCAAUCACCCAAAAGAGAAGGUGAACGUUGACAAGUUACAUGCAACUAUUGCUUCAAGAUUGCUUUUAGAUGAAAAUAACAAAUUGAAGGAUUAUGUAACGACCAAUACACGUGAGAUAUUAUAUUUGUGGUUAAGCACAUUUAUACUUUUUAAUGGCUAUAUUUUAAUUUGUAACAAACUUUAGCCAUGGGAUUGUUUUUUUGGAAAUUUAACUAUUUAGUUGAUUUUUAAAGGGUGUUGAACUCUGAUCUAAUUUGGGGUAUUAAUUUAUAUGUUUGCUGAAA